GCAGCCCUCGCGCGGUCCGGCACAGCGGACACCAGGACUCCAAAAUGGCGUCAGUUGGUGAGUGUCCGGCCCCAGAGCACGAGCGGCUCCGCAAAUACCACUGAAGAGGACACACUCUGCACCCCCCCACCCCACGACCUUGGCCCGAGCCCCUCCGUGAGGAACACAAUCUCAAUCGUUGCUGAAUCCUUUCAUAUCCUAAUAGGAAUUAACCUCCAAAUAAAACAUGACUGGUACGUGUGCUGAUUGCCUGCCUGUCUGCCGUAGCC
rnacentral:lncRNA from 1 species